CCAGGACUUCUCUCCCACAUUUCCUCUCUCAGAUGUCCCAGGUUUCCCCUGGCAGGUUUCCCCUCCCAGGUUUCCCAGGUUUUAUCUCCCAGGAUUUCUCUCCCAGGUUUCCCCUGGCAGGUUUUCUCUCCCAUGUUUUCUCUCCCAGGAUUCCCAGGAUUUCUCUCCCAGGAUUCCCCUCCCAUGUUUCCCAGGAUUUCUCUCCCAGGAUUUCUCUCCCAGGAUUUCUCUCCCAGGUUUCCCCUGGCAGGUUUUCUCUCCCAGGAUUCCCCUCCCAGGUUUCCCAG